GUAACAAGGUUUCCGUAGGUGAACCUGCGGAAGGAUCAUUACUGAUUUGCUUAAUUGCACCACAUGUGUUUUUCUUUGAAACAAACUUGCUUUGGCGGUGGGCCCAGCCUGCCGCCAGAGGUCUAAACUUACAACCAAUUUUUUAUCAACUUGUCACACCAGAUUAUUACUAAUAGUCAAAACUUUCAACAACGGAUCUCUUGGUUCUCGCAUCGAUGAAGAACGCAGCGAAAUGCGAUACGUAAUAUGAAUUGCAGAUAUUCGUGAAUCAUCGAAUCUUUGAACGCACAUUGCGCCCUCUGGUAUUCCGGAGGGCAUGCCUGUUUGAGCGUCGUUUCUCCCUCAAACCGCUGGGUUUGGUGUUGAGCAAUACGACUUGGGUUUGCUUGAAAGACGGUAGUGGUAAGGCGGGAUCGCUUUGACAAUGGCUUAGGUCUAACCAAAAACAUUGCUUGCGGCGGUAACGUCCACCACGUAUAUCUUCAAACUUUGACCUCAAAUCAGGUAGGACUACCCGCUGAACUUAAGCAUAUC
rnacentral:misc_RNA from 1 species